AGAGUUCUCAAACCAGGAGAAACAGAUGAGAAUCCAGAAAUGUUACAGAUGCAGGUGAUGGGAGCUUCAGGCUGUGCCCACCUCCACCCUGACAUUGGCAGUUCUAUUAUCUGCUUCAUUACUCAGGAGAAAGGCUCUGAUACGAAUGUGGAACCUGUGACUCCUGGCAGUGCUGUUAUGUGCAGACCAGUGUCUGGAAAUGG